GUCUCUGUGGCUCAGUUGGUAGAGCGUUGGUCUCAUAGGAACACUCUAUGACUCUGUCUCCAGACAUGGAUAUCCAAAGGUCGCAAGUUCGAGCCUUGCCAGGGACA
rnacentral:tRNA from 1 species